GAUGAACGCUGGCGGCAUGCCUAAUACAUGCAAGUCGAGCGAAGCGGGGAUGGGUGCGUAACACGUCGAGAACCUCCUAUAUGAAUGGGAUAACUUCGGGAAACCGGUGCUAAAACGGCUCCUGUUAGCUGGAUCCGGGCUGCAUUAGCUAGUUGGUAAGGUAACGGCUUACCAAGGCAACGAUGCAUAGCAGACCUGAGAGUGUGAUCGGCCACACUGGAACUGAGACACGGUCCAGACUCCUACGGGAGGCAGCAGUAGGGAAUCUUCCGCAAUGGGCGAAAGCCUGACGGAGCAACGCCGCGUGAGUGAUGAAGGUCUUCGGAUCGUAAAACUCUGUUAUUAGGGAAGCGGUACCUAAUCAGAAAGCCACGGCUAACUACGUGCCAGCAGCCGCGGUAAUUC
rnacentral:rRNA from 1 species